rnacentral:rRNA from 1 species
AGAGUUUGAUCAUGGCUCAGAGUGAACGCUGGCGGCGUGUUUUAGGCAUGCAAGUCGGACGGCAGCAUGAGAGAAGCUUGCUUCUCUUGAUGGCGAGUGGCGGACGGGUGAGUAACGCGUAGGAAUCUACCCAGAGGACGGGGAUAGCCACGGGAAACCGUGGGUAAUACCCGAUGAUAUCGAAAGAUCAAAGGCGCUUUCAAGCGUCACCUUUGGAUGAGCCUGCGUCCCAUCAGCUAGUUGGUAGGGUAAAAGCCUACCAAGGCAAAGACGGGUAGCUGGUCUGAGAGGAUGAUCAGUCACAAGGGAACUGAGACACGGUCCCUACUCCUACGGGAGGCAGCAGCCAAGAAUAUUCCGCAAUGGGGGAAACCCUGACGGAGCGACGCCGCGUGAAGGAUGAAGGCCUUCGGGUUGUAAACUUCUUUUAUAAGGGAAGAAUAAGGUAAUCAGGAAAUGGGUUACUGAUGACGGUACCUUUUGAAUAAGCCCCGGCUAAUUACGUGCCAGCAGCCGCGGUAAUACGUAAGGGGCGAGCGUUACUCGGAUUCACUGGGCAUAAAGGGCGUGUAGGCGGCUAUGCAAGUUGACUGUAAAAGAUCAAGGCUUAACCUUGGGACUGCGAUCAAAACUGCAUAGCUAGAAUCUGGUGGAAGGUGAUGGAAUUCCCGGUGUAGCGGUGAAAUGCGUAGAUAUCGGGAAGAACACCAAAGGCGAAGGCAAUCAUCUAUGCUGAAAUUGACGCUGAGGCGCGAAAGCGUGGGGAGCGAACAGGAUUAGAUACCCUAGUAGUCC